GGCGCCUUCGUCUAGUGGCCUAGGACGCAAGGUUCUCAUCCUUGUAACAUGGGUUCGACUCCCAUAGGCGUCACUA
rnacentral:tRNA from 1 species